ensembl:lncRNA
CCUGGAGCAGCUGCCAGCUUUGCCUUGCACCUCCCAGCAUCCUCCCAUCCGCACAGACGGACAGCUUCCAGGCUGCUUGCUGCUAGGCUCACCAGCAGAGCUGCAAACCUGAGUGCUCGCAGGCGCGUGGGAGAGCCUGCGCCGGAUGCAUCUGAGCCUCUUCAUGAUGUAAGGAAAGUGGGAGAGGCAAGGCAUAGCGACAGCUUCCCAGGAUGCUCUUAGGAAAAAUAUAACCUAUGCAGCCUGGGUUCAUAAAUCCUUUACUCUCGGGAUUUGUGCUCCUAAAUCUUCAAGCUUUCAUUAUUGAUAGAGACUUGGAACCUGCAACCCACAGAAGUCCCAAGAGUGCGGAUUUAUCCAUGGAAUUAUACCAAGAAUAAAUUAGACCACGGACAUCAGAGGCACCACUCACAGGCGUAUGAACUACUGGCUCCAGUCCACUGUUUCCGUACUUUGGUUAUUUCCAUUUAGUUUAACUUGAUUAGAUUCCAACACUCAGUAAACUUGAUCAAAUUUUUUUUGAAGAAUAUGUUUGCAUAUCAACUACAUUUUUCACAUCCUUGCUCAGCCUCUGGAAAAAGCUCUUAAUAAAGAGGGAACUUACAGUUUCGCCUGUAAAAUAGCAACAGCCAAAUUUCCACUAUGAUUUGGGAUCAAGCAUCAAGUGCUGGAAGAAUAUGUUGCAAUUAUCCAGGUGAAUUGUUAACUGAAAUGUAAGGUUACUAACUGAGGUAAUUACCGCAGUGUCACUAUGAACACACUACCCCUGCAUUCUCCCAGCAUGAUACAGUGCUUAUGAUGGAUAGUGGCUGUUAGGUCCAGACUGGGAGCAGCAGCAACCUGUUCUUAAAUCCUUCCUCUGUCUAAUGCUCCUUGCUUAACACUCUGUUAAUUCCUGGUAACCCUGCUAUUCUUCCAAGGGCCUUAAAAAAAAAAACAAAAAAAAACCCACUUCCUUCAUCAUGCCAUUGUUUCAUCAUGACUUUGUGAAAGAAGAAAAGAAGGGGAAAAAAAAAAAGAAAGGAAAAAAGAAGGAUUGAGAUGGAACAAAAGACUGUGUAGCAGCAAGGAGCUUCUCCUGCAUCCACUUACUGAAGAAUGCAGAGUUCAAUCUUCAAAAUGGGAAAUCAACUUGUAUUUCUUACAGACAAGCAUUUUCUGUUGCAGAAAAACAAGUAAUAAACGUUCUCCC